AUUGACGGGAAAACUCUAACUUAUGCCUUGGAGGAUGAUAUGAAGUAUCAAUUCUUGGCUUUGGCAGUGGAUUGUGCAUCAGUCAUUUGCUGUCGAGUGUCUCCC
rnacentral:sRNA from 1 species